UGGGGAAUAUUGGACAAUGGGCGCAAGCCUGAUCCAGCCAUGCCGCGUGGGUGAAGAAGGCCCUAGGGUUGUAAACCCCUUUCAGCGGGGAAGAUAAUGACGGUACCCGCAGAAGAAGCCCCGGCUAACUCCGUGCCAGCAGCCGCGGUAAUACGGAGGGGGCUAGCGUUGUUCGGAAUUACUGGGCGUAAAGCGCGGGUAGGCGGACUUUCAAGUCAGGGGUGAAAUCCCGAGGCUCAACCUCGGAACUGCCUUUGAUACUGUAAGUCUUGAGUCCGAGAGAGGUGAGUGGAAUUCCUAGUGUAGAGGUGAAAUUCGUAGAUAUUGGAUGGAUCACCGGUGGCGAAAGCGGCUCUCUGGUCCGAACCUGACGCUGAGGCGCGAAAGCGUGGGGAGCGAACAGGAUUAGAUACCCCUGUAGUCG
rnacentral:rRNA from 1 species